rnacentral:rRNA from 1 species
UACAGAGGUCUCAAGCGUUGUUCGGAUUCAUUGGGCGUAAAGGGUGCGUAGGCGGCGCGGUAAGUCGGGUGUGAAAUCUCGGAGCUUAACUCCGAAACUGCAUUCGAUACUGCCGUGCUUGAGGACUGGAGAGGAGACUGGAAUUUACGGUGUAGCGGUGAAAUGCGUAGAUAUCGUAAGGAAGACCAGUGGCGAAGGCGGGGUCUCUGGACAGUUCCUGACGCUGAGGUGCGAAAGCGUGGGGGAGCAAACAGG